rnacentral:rRNA from 2 species
UGAUAUUACCUUAUUAUUAGUGUCGUCCAAAACUGGUGCCAGAAGACUCGGUAAGGCCAGAGACACAAACGUUAAUCGUCUUAAUCAGGCGUAAAGGGUUUGUAGGCGGCUUAAAAAUUUACUUAUACAAAUAAAUAAAUAAUAAGUAAAGAAUAAAAGCUAGAAUCAAAUAGAGGAUAUAUGAAAUAACGCUUAGAGUAGGUCUGAUAUCCUUAGAUACUAAGUAGAAUAUUAAAGGCGAAAGCUUUUUUCCAUUAAUGAUUGACGCUCAGAAACGAAGGUGAGGAUAGGAAAUAGGAUUUGAUACCCAGAAUACCCCUCUCUGUCAACGAUGAAUGGUAGUUAUUAGUAAAAUUUAUUAAUGGCAAUGUUAACACAAUAACCAUUCCGCCUUGUGAGUACAACUGCAAAGUUGAAAACAAAAAAA